ACAAACAAAAAACAAAAACAAAACAAACAAACAACAACAAAAACCAACCAACCAAACAAACAAACAAAAAAAACCCUUUCCCUCUCUUCCUCAAAAGGGAACUGUGAAAGAACUUGUGGGGGAGAAGCUAUGCUCUACUGUUCUGUGGAAAAUCUAUUUGCCCUCUUGUCUAUUUGGCUUCAGUUUUCAAUUUACUGUUGUAAACAAGCCUCAUUAGCUACGAAGUUAUUUAUACAUCUUUCCAUUGCUCUCAGGUAUUUGUUUUUCAGAGUACUUUUUUAAAUUAAAAAUAAUGACCACAGUUACGUAAUUUAAACAGAAUGCAAGGGUUUUAUUUGAGAAUUCCAUAUUUUGUUAAAUUUCUAUUAUUUAUUUUCAUAAAUUGGUAUUGUCUCCAUAGUAUCAAAAUAUCAAGUUUAGCAUAUUUGUCUUCUUAAACCCAUAUUAGGAAUUUUCUUUAAAAGACAGUGAUCUAGACUGGAGAGGUGGCUCUGUGGUUAGGAAUGCUUGAUGAUCAGUUACCAGGACCCUCAUCAGUUGGCUCACAAUUGAAUGGAGCUCUAACAAACCUUGUCUAUUCUUUGUGGUACACAGCAACACAUUGGAUAUUAAAAGAAGUGGCCGACUUUAGGGGAAAUGAAAAUUUAUUCUUAAGGAUGAAAAGUUACAGAUAGGCACUUGCUACCUAUUUCUUGGGCAAAAGAAAUAAACACUGCAACCAGGAAUUCUGGUUUCCCUUUGUCACAUCCAUAGAACUCAUGCUCUCAAUUUGCAAUCUUCCUACCAUUUCUCUUCCCAUUGUAGAAGGGCAGAGCUCUCUGCCCAUGCCCAUGUAGUGUUUUUCAGCAGUAUGUGUGCUGUCUAAUGGUGCUUGUGUACCUCCUCCACGCUUUGGAGGAAUUGUAGCAUAUAGAGAACCACUUGCCCCUUUCUAUGGGCUUAGCAUACUAAUCUGACGAAUCCCUGGUGCUGGGAUAGUAAAUGGGUCUCUGCAUUUUAUUCUCUUUUGAAGGCAUGGGUAAGAAAAUAGUGAUUGCAUCCCUCGGGCUCCAUUUUCAACUUGCUUUGGAGUUUUAAGAUGACUUCAAGUAAAAAAUACAAUUAAAGGGCUUGCUGACUGGAAAAAAAAAAAAAAGAUGAAGUUACCACAUGAUUUCCAGCCACUUAGUCCUGAUGACAAUGGACACUGGUUAGGUUAGUGCAAGGCCCUUCAGUUUACUCCUUGUCAUUAUGAAUUCCACAUUCUGGUGCAUCUUUUCUUAAUUUGGUAAGAAAUUUGAUUCAUACACCAUCAUAUGUUUUUCUUUUUAUUUCCUCCUUUUCUUGGCAUUUCUGGAAUUUCCAUUCCAAUUAAAUAUUAUGGUAGGGCUCAAAGGAAAGUUUAUUUUCAAAAGUGGUAGUUCAGUUGCCAGGAAACAGCAUGUCAGUAGUAAGAAAUAGAACUAGAAAUGACAGAUGGAAGCUGUAGCUUUCCCACUUGGCCAGAAUCUUCACUUUGAGAUUGUCUUUCAGCUAGCUCAUAAAGGAUGCAGAAUCUCCAGCCAGCUCUGGCUUCUCUACAUCUCACAUGAUGUGCUUACUUCUGAUGUAAUAUUGUGUGAUUUUUCCUGGGGAGACAUGAAUGUCUCUUUACCCCAGACUGGGUACUGGUCACAGACCAAUGCAAUGGUUCUAGCCAGAUCAACCUUGGGAAUUAAUGGGUUUACUAUGAGUCACAUGACACAUAGGCAGCCACAUCAUUGAAAAGCCCACUGUAGCAGGAAUGACAACUCACAAAAGAACCAUCCCUUCCUCAAACUCCCUGCCCUCUUUGCAGAAAGCACCUCUGAGUAGGCUCGUUCCCAAUAGUUGUUAACUGUUUUCGUAAGCCUAGGAAAGGACCCUAUAAAGCAUGUUACCUUAUGAGAGUCUUGAGAUGUGUAGGUCUUGUUACCAUUCUGAGUCUUGGGAGCAUCCCUCAUUUCUCCAUUAAAGACUGUUUCAGUUUAUAGAAAGUAAAACCCAUAUAACAAAUGUGUAAAUGUUCACAUACUCAAGGAAUUAUACUUGCAUAAUUGAUCAUAAAGGCAAGGAUAAAGAAAGGCAAGGAAGUUUUGGUCUCUCUGUGCUUAUUAAGAAACGCAUGAUCAUAAAAAAUUUCAUUUCCUGGCUUUUCUUGAGAAAAUAUAAAAAUAUCUAUUUACUCGGAUGUGAGGGGAGCAGUGAUGUACUACCGAACACACUAUCACUCUCUAGCUUAGUGAGCUUGUGGGAUGGCUUAAAAGAAGCUGCCAUGCCAGGCAAGCCCAAAAUUCCUUGGGAACCUCUCUCCACAAAUACGUAGUAAUAAGUAGUAAAAACCCGAUGGUUUUGUGACCAUCGGAUGUGGAUGAGCCCAACCUCUUUGACUCAGGAUAAAAAUGUCUGUGUCAAACCUGGAGGAAAUGGCUUCUUCACACCUCUUUCAAGUCUCUCAAAUGAAAUGGUCUGCAAUGGGCACUGCUGACACAUAGUCAUAGAGCUGGUAUUUGAACAUUUGACCUCCAUUUUCCUGCACAACAUGGAUCUUAUCAUCUCUUGCUGCAUUAAGUGAAUUAUAUGAAAAAAGCUCUUCCAAGUAGAGAGUUGGCGAUUGUGAUUGACUCCCAUGUGUUUACCUGAAUACUUGGUUUCAUUCCCUCUAGCUUGUUUACCUCUUUAUUAGGCCGAGGUAUUACUAAUAUAACAUGAACCAAAUGUAUCCCACAAAAACAACAGUGGAACUGAAAGAUGCACAUCAUAGGAUGCCUAAGUCUUUCUUUCAGCUUGUCCCAUUC
rnacentral:lncRNA from 1 species